rnacentral:misc_RNA from 1 species
UCCUGGUUAACCCAGGCAGUCUCAUUAGAGUUCCUGUUAAAAACGCUGGCAACUAAUGAUAAGGGUUGCGCUCGUUGCGGGACUUAACCCAACACCUCACGGCACGAGCUGACGACAGCCAUGCAGCACCUGUACAGCAGCCCUUGCGGGAAGCGACAUUUCUGCCGCCGUCUCCUGUAUUUCAAGUCUGGGUAAGGUUCUUCGCGUUGCAUCGAAUUAAACCACAUGCUCCACUGCUUGUGCGGGCCCCCGUCAAUUCUUUUGAGUUUCACCCUUGCGAGUGUACUCCUCAGGCGGUAUACUUAUCGCGUUAGCUUCGACACAGUUGGGGUUGAGUCCAACUACACCAAGUAUACAUCGUUUACGGCAAGGACUAC